rnacentral:lncRNA from 1 species
CAAAUUAUUAUCCAAUCAGGCUAAAAAGGUUAGUUCUUAUCUCAUAAGGUCACUUACUUUUUAAUCUAAUUUUUUUUCUAAGAAAAUGAGACCCAAUUAGAAAGGCCCUUGCCUUAAAUAUCAAGUGGAUGUGGCACCCUUAUCUUAUAAGGCAAGAUGAGGGGCGCCACUUGAUUUAUAAGGUUGCUAGUUGGGGCGCC